rnacentral:misc_RNA from 1 species
UUUCCGUAGGUGAACCUGCGGAAGGAUCAUUCAUAAUAAAGUGUUUUAUGGCACUUUUUAAAGAUCCAUAUCCACCUUGUGUGCAAUGUUAGAUCUCGUCAAUCUUGGCGAGGUUUUUAUACAUCAACUCAUUCUUUAACUAAUUUGUCUGAAAAAUAUUAUGAAUACUUAAUUCAAAAUACAACUUUCAACAACGGAUCUCUUGGCUCU